AGUGAACGCUGGCGGUAGGCCUAACACAUGCAAGUCGAACGGCAGCACAGUAAGAGCUUGCUCUUACGGGUGGCGAGUGGCGGACGGGUGAGGUAUACAUCGGAAUCUACUUUUUCGUGGGGGAUAACGUAGGGAAACUUACGCUAAUACCGCAUACGACCUACGGGUGAAAGCAGGGGAUCUUCGGACCUUGCGCGAUUGAAUGAGCCGCUGUCGGAUUAGCUAGUUGGCGGGGUAAAGGCCCACCAAGGCGACGAUCCGUAGCUGGUCUGAGAGGAUGAUCAGCCACACUGGAACUGAGACACGGUCCAGACUCCUACGGGAGGCAGCAGUGGGGAAUAUUGGACAAUGGGCGCAAGCCUGAUCCAGCCAUACCGCGUGGGUGAAGAAGGCCUUCGGGUUGUAAAGCCCUUUUGUUGGGAAAGAAAAGCAGCAGGUUAAUACCCCGCUGUUCUGACGGUACCCAAAGAAUAAGCACCGGCUAACUUCGUG
rnacentral:rRNA from 1 species